rnacentral:snRNA from 1 species
UUCGCUUCUCGGCCUUUUGGCUAAGAUCAAAGUUUAGUUUGUGUUCUUAUCGAAUUAACCUUCGAUAGAGAUUCGAAAGUUCUAGCCUAAUCAUAAAGUUCUGUUUUUAGCAGACAGAGUCAAGGACUUAAC